GAUGAACGCUAGCGGCGGGCUUAAUACAUGCAAGUCAAGGGGUAGCAAUACACCGGCGGACGGGUGCGUAACGCGUAUGCAACCUACCUUAAUCUGGGGGAUAACUCGGGGAAACUCGAGCUAAUACCGCAUAAGAAAUUAGAGUGGCAUCACUUAGAUUUUAAAGAUUUAUUGGAUUAAGAUGGGCAUGCGUAAGAUUAGAUAGUUGGGGAGGUAACGGCUCACCAAGUCUACGAUCUUUAGGGGCUCUGAGAGGAGAGUCCCCCACACUGGCCCUGAGAUACGGGCCAGACUCCUACGGGAGGAAGCAGUAGGGAAUAUUGAGCAAUGGGCGAAAGCCUGACCCAGCCGCGCCGCUUGCAGGAAGACGGCCCUCUAGGUUGUAAACUGCUUUUGACUGGGAAGGAAAGAGGCCUUGCGAGGCAAGUUGACGGUACCAGUUGAAUAAGCCACGGCUAACUACGUGCCAGCCGCCGCCGUAAUAC
rnacentral:rRNA from 1 species